AACGCACAUUGCGCCCCUUGGUAUUCCAUGGGGCAUGCCUGUUCGAGCGUCAUCUACACCCUCAAGCUCUGCUUGGUGUUGGGCGUCUGUCCCGCCUACGUGCGCGGACUCGCCCCAAAUUCAUUGGCAGCGGUCCUUGCCUCCUCUCGCGCAGCACAUUGCGCUUCUCGAGGAGCGCGGCCCGCGUCCACGAAGCAACAUUACCGUCUUUGACCUCGGAUCAGGUAGGGAUACCCGCUGAACUUAA
rnacentral:misc_RNA from 1 species